GCGCGUGCGCGGCUGGCCCGGGCGCGCGCCCGCAGGUAGAGGGCUUGGCUUCCCGUCUUGGUCCUCUGCGCGCUUUUGACAAAUUCCACCAAGCACUACCUGGAGUCUGAUCCGCUCCUUACGUUUUUAAGAAGAAAGGAGGCCCUCGUUAAAUUAAUAUACAAUCUACACUAACUCCAUCGAUUCCUAAUUGGCGGUUGGCCUGCUAGAAGACACUAAAUCAGGCGUGCCUGUGAGGAUGGGCCAAAGGGAGGAGUGUUUGCAUAAACCCGCUGUCCGCAGCUGUCCAGGCGCCCUGCAGGCGUUUGGCUCGGUCUCCACGGCACUGCCAGGGAAGCAGUGGACCGGAGCGUCACCACCGUGUGAGUGCUGCAGGGCUAGGAGGUAUCCAUAGAAAACAGCUGAUGAUGGACACACAGACAUGAGACAGG